rnacentral:rRNA from 1 species
UACGUAGGCAGCAAGCGUUGUUCGGAGUUACUGGGCGUAAAGGGUGCGUAGGCGGCUUUUUAAGUCUGGUGUGAAAUCUCCCGGCUUAACUGGGAGGGUGCAGCGGAAACUAGAGUGCUAGAGGGUGGGAGAGGUAAGCGGAAUUCCUGGUGUAGCGGUGAAAUGCGUAGAUAUCAGGAGGAACACCUGUGGUGUAGACAGCUUACUGGACCACUUCUGACGCUGAGACACGAAAGCGUGGGUAGCAAACAGG